UAGAAAUAGCAAUCCCUCUCCAUUCUGUUGGCACUUGUAAGGAUUACCUGAAACCAAACAGACAGAUGUCUCAGCCAAGAAGUGUAUCACAUUGACACCAACUUAACUCAUGACUGCAGGCUGGCUUUCCAAUCCAUUAGUGCCCUCCACAAGUCAAGUGUUGGACCGCAGGAAAUGAAGAAGUAGAGCUUUGGUUUACAUAUGUUGACGUGAACAACUCAGUUGCACCCGUUAUGAGAGUAACUGCUCAGCUCAUGAUGAGUGAAUAGGUCAUCCAGCAAGAAACAGAAAACACAGAAAUGGACCUUCUUUGGGAGCAGGGUAGCAAGGCUGGAGUACAGUGGCGAGAUCUCG